GCUAGUAAUGGCAGGUCAGCAUACUGCCGUGAAUACGUUCCCGGGCCUUGUACACACCGCCCGUCACACCAUGAGAGUUGGGAAUACCCGAAGCCUGUGAGCUAACUUUUAGAGGCAGCAGUCGAAGGUAGAAUCAAUGAUUGGGGUGAAGUCGUAACAAGGUAUC
rnacentral:rRNA from 1 species